UAUAGAUGUCAUUGAGAAACUCAU
rnacentral:siRNA from 1 species